AUUGAACGCUGGCGGCAGGCCUAACACAUGCAAGUCGAGCGGACGAAGGGAGCUUGCUCCUGGAUUCAGCGGCGGACGGGGGAGUAGUGCCUAAGAAUCUGCCUGGUAGUGGGGGAUAACGUCCGGAAACGGGCGCUAAUACGGCAUACGGCCUGAGGGUGAAAGGGGGGGAUCUGCGGACCUCACGCUAUCAGAUGAGCCUAGGUCGGAUUGGCUCGUGGGUGGGGUAAAGGCCUACCAAGGCGACGAUCCGUAACUGGUCUGAGAGGCUGAUCAGUCACACUGUGACUGAGACACGGUCCAGAGUCUCACGGGAGGCAGCGGUGUGGAAUAUUGGACAAUGGGGGCAAGCCUGAUCCAGCCCUGCGGCGUGUGUGAAGAAGGUCUUCUGAUUGUAAAGCACUUUAAGUUGGGAGGAAGGGCAGUAAGUUAAUACCUUGCUGUUUUGACGUGACCAACAGAAUAAGCACCGGCUAACUUCGUG
rnacentral:rRNA from 1 species